AGCGAACGCUGGCGGCAGGCCUAACACAUGCAAGUCGAACGAACUCUUCGGAGUUAGUGGCGGACGGGUGAGUAACACGUGGGAACUUGCCUUUUGGUUCGGAAUAACUCAGGGAAACUUGUGCUAAUACCGAAUGUGCCCUUCGGGGGAAAGAUUUAUCGCCAUUAGAGCGGCCCGCGUCUGAUUAGCUAGUUGGUGAGGUAACGGCUCACCAAGGCGACGAUCAGUAGCUGGUCUGAGAGGAUGACCAGCCACACUGGGACUGAGACACGGCCCAGACUCCUACGGGAGGCAGCAGUGGGGAAUCUUGCGCAAUGGGCGAAAGCCUGACGCAGCCAUGCCGCGUGAAUGAUGAAGGUCUUAGGAUUGUAAAAUUCUUUCACCGGGGACGAUAAUGACGGUACCCGGAGAAGAAGCCCCGGCUAACUUCG
rnacentral:rRNA from 1 species